AAGUUAACUUUUACCCCUUGGUAUUUGUAGAAUGCCUAUACAUAUCUUUGAUUUCACCCCUUAGUACAAGUGGCCACUUUGUGGCUGAUGUAAGAACGUGCUUGUGGAAGACAAGUCUGUGGCUUGGGCCAAGUGCUUUCGGGGCAAAAAAGUCCUUGGAGAUUAUGAUAUCAAGGUGGAACAGGCAGAAUUUUCAGAGCUCAACCUGGUGGCCCAUGCAGAUGGCACCUAUGCUGUGGAUAUGCAGGUUCUCCGGAAUGGCACAAAGGUUGUCCGGUCCUUCCGGCCAGACUUCGUGCUCAUCCGGCAGCAUGCAUUUGGCAUGGCGGAGAAUGAGGACUUCCGCCACCUGAUCAUUGGCAUGCAGUAUGCAGGCCUCCCCAGCAUCAACUCACUGGAAUCCAUAUACAACUUCUGUGACAAGCCAUGGGUGUUUGCCCAGCUGGUCGCUAUCUAUAAGACACUGGGAGGAGAAAAGUUCCCUCUCAUUGAACAGACAUACUACCCCAACCACAAAGAG
rnacentral:sRNA from 1 species